CCUACGGGAGGCAGCAGUGAGGAAUUUUGCGCAAUGGGGGAAACCCUGACGCAGCAACGCCGCGUGGGUGAAGAAGGCUUUCGGGUCGUAAAGCCCUGUCAGGUGGGAAGAAACUCUUCAGUACUAAUAAUGCUGAAGCCUGACGGUACCACCAGAGGAAGCACCGGCCAACUCCGUGCCAGCAGCCGCGGUAAUACGGAGGGUGCAAGCGUUGUUCGGAAUUAUUGGGCGUAAAGAGCGUGUAGGCGGCUUGGUAAGUCAGAUGUGAAAGCCCUGGGCUCAACCCAGGAAGUGCAUUUGAAACUACCAGACUUGAGUACGGGAGAGGAGGGGGGAAUUCCCGGUGUAGAGGUGAAAUUCGUAGAUAUCGGGAGGAAUACCGGUGGCGAAGGCGCCCCUUUGGACCGAUACUGACGCUGAGACGCGAAAGCGUGGGGAGCAAACAGGAUUAGAUACCCUGGUAGUCCACGCCGUAAACGAUGAGCACUAGGUGUAGCGGGUAUUGACCCCUGCUGUGCCGUAGCUAACGCAUUAAGUGCUCCGCCUGGGGACUACGGUCGCAAGACUAAAACUCAAAGGAAUUGACGG
rnacentral:rRNA from 2 species